AAUGUUUGGUCCAUUUGGCCGAUCACUUGGCUAAGCAAUUAUAAGCACGUGCAAGAAACUAACUCUUUUUUACAUACAUAUAGAUAUAUGCUUGAGCUACCCUUCCAUCUUAUAUUUUCUACACCCUUCAAUUUAUGUAGUGAUGAUUCAAUGAUUGAUCAUUUCAAUUUUCAAGUAUGGACGUUGCCAAUUUUGAGCUUCAAUUUUUCAGCCCAGGGAUGAGCAUAAGAAAUUGGUAAAGAAUCAAAAGUCAAAGAAGAAUCAAUGCAGUUCGCGACUAGCUCACAAGAAGCUCGUGAGAAGAGUAACCGCAAAAAGUCACGUGUGAAGCACAUAACUAGAAGCCGAAGAGUUAUGCCAGGCUGUUAAAUUUGCGAGUACUUCGCAAGAAAGACCAUCUCGCGAGGUACUCACAAAACUCUUUGUUUGGCAAAAAAAAAAAGUGUUUUACCAAAUUCUUUACUCACAUUAUAUAUACCUUCAUUACCCACGAAAUUUAAGGAGUGCUUUUCAGAGAGAAAAUCCUAGCAAAAACACUUGAGAGUUAGAGAUUGUCAUACCCACAAUUAUCUACACAUUUUCUCUUGGUUUUCUUCAACUCCUACCUCUCCAUCUCUACAUUCCUGUAGAAGUUCUUAGCUCAAACACUUAACUUACCCAAUUUGAGUGUUGAGUCAAGUUUUGGUGCCUUUGGGAAGCAUUAGAAGGAGUCAUUAAGUGGCGGAUGCAAUCGGGCUGAAUUGCAGGAUCCGGAAAGCUAGCGAAAACAAGACUCCGAAAAGUCCGUUGGUAGCAAGAGUUUGGAGGGUUCAAGUACAUAAGAUAGACUAGGCUUGGAGGGUCUUUUGUUAUUCGUGUACUCCAACUUAUUCACUAAUAGAUUGAUUUCGAUUUGAAGAGUCACAGAGAGGUUUUUCGCUGAAUUCUACAGUUUCCUCUUCGAUAACACGUCUUGGUGUUAUUUUGUGUUUGCAUCUCUCUUCUCUACUCUUUAAGCUUUUCUUUUAUUGUUCAUUGUGGUUGAGUAUGGUUUAGAGUAGUGUUACCGGUUUAUCGUGCUUAUUUACUCUUAUUUCACACUUUGAUAAGUUAGAGUAAAACCAAUCUAGCCGUAAUUUUAAAAUUAGGGUCUGAACAAGCAUUAGUAUUUUCACACUAAUUGAGCUUUCGGCAUUACUUAUCUAAUUUAAAUUAAACUAUUAAACUCCAUACUAACUAUGUCCAAAGAAUAUUCACAUCAAAGGUGCUAAAAUAACUAAAAUGCUUUUUUAGCACUCAAAACAUUAAAAAACUUACUAAGGUGCUAAAAGUAAAAAAUUUAAACCCCUAUCUUGACUAUAUUACUGUAGCUAGCUGGUAAAUACAAAAAGCAUUACCGAAAUGAAAGUUAAAGAGAGACUCUUGAGUGGUAAAGCUUUUUUUUUUUUUCAAAAAAAAAAAAAAAACUUAAAUGAAGUUGUAAAAGAAUAAAGUAUUUGAUAUUGGAUGUAUUAUAUUGUAAAAUAGUGUGUUAAAAAUUUAAAAUAAAUAAAGUAAUUUUUUGAGUCGAUAAAAACUAAGGGCACGUUUGGUAAAGAAAUUUGAAUAAUGUUGUUUGUAUUUUUUUAAAAUAUGUAUGAGUGAAAAAAUGUAUAAUAUUAUUUAAAAAUUGAAAAUGUAUUAUUUAUCUACUCUACUAAACGGGCCUAAAUAUUUUUAGCACCUUUACGAAAUGCUCUAAAAAAUGGUUUGUCAAAGAAAAAGAAGACGUGACUUUUUCCAAUGUUAUUUAUUUUCUUGACUGAGGCGACAGACAAACAAAUAUAGUGCAAAGCUUUUAGGCUUAAAAAUUAAAACAGGAAUCUAGUAGUCGACAGAGAUACUUUGAGCUCUCAAAUGGAGCUGCAAGGGCUGCAACCUGAAGCCAACUACUUUGGGAAUUGGGACCCAAAAAUAUACCAUGAAAACAACCACGACAAAAACAAUUGAGAAAGCUUUUCAAAAAAAACAGUACACGUAAAACAAAUUAAGCUCCACAACCUGAGGGCAGAGCAUAUAUAGGCUGUCUCAAACUCUAAAAAUAAAAAAUAUAAAUAAAAAAGAAAAAAAAAGCACAUACAUGUUAAACAAAUUAAAGGCCUACUUAGCUGCCAUUGAGUAAGAAAGGGCCCUGCAAGACCAUAAUUGUUGGUCCCUUUCCCUUUUUCAUGUGAGCUUGAUUUCUUGACUGUCUUCCAAGGAAUCGUCAAGACUCAAGAGAUAGUUGACAGCUCUCUCUCACGAGUCAACUUAAGUGAGCGACUUAAAUUCCUCUUGCAAUUAAGAGGCCAUAGUUGUUGGUCCCUUUGAGAUUUGAUCUCGUGAACUCCCAUGUAUGACCAAGAGGGUUUUUUUUUUACGUAAGACUUUUGUUUAAUUAGGACAAAGAGAGAAAAGUAAUGGUAGAAUGAGAAAUCCUCUUCCUAUAUAGGCAUCUUAUCUAUAUAUAGUUGCACUAAUACCAUUGCCCAUAUAUAGUAAACAUGACAUAUGACCCUACAAAGAAAGGAUGUUUUAUCUCACGAGCCUCUCACAACAUAAAUAAUGUUUGUCUUAUACAUUAUGAGAGAGGUUUCAUAAAACUGUACAUAAAUAAUGUUUGUAAUGUUUGUCUUAUACAUUAUGAGAGUGGUCUCAUAAAACUGUAUCAUAUAUGGGAUACUUUUUGCUAUUUAACAUACGAGCCUAUAUGAGCCAUUAUAGAUAGAGUGGUAUUUAUUUGAGUUUUCUAUGCGAGAGAUUUAAUGCCAAAACCAAGUGAUUGAGAGGGUACACCCGCGGAACAACAGUACGUAAGGAGAUUGAUAGAAUGGUGAGAGAGACACACACAUUAUUGACAAGUUUGGUUAUCGACCAAGCCCACGAUCAAGUAAUUGAAUUGUCAACGUCGGCUCUGAUGAUCGAGUUUGAACUGAUCAGUAACAGCCAAAGUUGAUUGGUUUCGGCGGCUUCUAUACUUCUCACACUGGUGGGCACCUCUCCAUCAAUUUCAAGCUGUUUCCAAUUCCGAGGUUGAGCUUCAAGAAUUUGGGAAUAUCCUAUCAUCAACUUCUACUUCAAUGGAUAAUCUACCAGCCCUGCUUAUUUUCAGGGGGGAGGGGGCAUCGACUUUUCAUUCAGCAUGCAACAAAAAAACUAUAUUUGAUCUGAUCACACUACAAAACACGCGGGUCAGCUUCCCAGAUGGCAGCAUGGUUGAAGGUCGGCGCGGAAGAAGAAGAAGAAAUGAGAGGAUUAAAAGUAGGCUGUUGUUGUUGUUGAUUCACAAACAUAUUGUCAUCAAUCAAAGAAUCCAGAAAUGAAGAGAAGGUAUCCUCAUUGCAGUUUUCAAUAUAAUCUUCUUCAUUUCCUUGUA